ACACAGUAAGCCCCUCUUGUUCAUCCGUAUGUCAUUCAAAUAGAUACCAAAGAGAGAUGCAUGAGCUCAUGGGCACUUGGUGACGACAAAGGAGUGAGGUUACGGAAGGCAGCUCAGAAACCAAGGCAGCAACAGUCAAGAUAAAGGCAGGAGAGGCAACAGAGCCUUCCCGACUGCUGUCCUCACGAUCCAAGCUGUCAGCCCUCUGUUUAGGGACAAAAACUGAUAACAAGGGAGUUGUGGUUCUUUUUUUAAAAGAAAAAAUUCUCUGUAAAAUGUGAUCACAUAAAAGAAGACUUUACUGCAGCAUCAAAGAGAAUCUCUUGCCUAUCCAAGGACAGGAAGUGCAGAGGGACGGCAAUUCUCUUUCAAGAGCUGCAUGGCCUUUUCCUCUCAUGGUGUCUCUUUGUGUGUAUUGUGGUUUUUGCUUGAGAGCUGCAUGUUUUUCUGAAACGUGAUCUGUGGGGAUCCUUUGAGACCCAGGUUGAAGUUGGGUCUACCAACCCCAGCACUCUAGGAAUUGUCCUCUUUGCUUGAAGCUUUUCAGACUACACAUCUGGCAUGACUCUGGAUGCAAGUCACGUGAGGACUGGCUUAUGGCUUUGACUGUUCAGGGGAGAUUGCUUCACCAUCCACUCAGCACCAAGUCCAGAGAGACAUGAUCCUUGCUGCCACUUUCUGUGAACAGGGCUUUUUUUCUCCUCACUCAUCUGUAUAGCCACUGAAGGUAUAGCCCUCUGGGGCUCCAACUUGAGGUGAGGUGUCUUCAGUCAGAUUGCCCCCAUCUGUGCAACUCUUGCUGCAGAAGCCCAAAGGCUCCAUGGUUUGGCAGAAACUUUCAGGGUGAAAACCAGCUUCGAUAUUCACUUACUGAGCAGAAUCCUUGCUCUGACUGCAUUUCAAUGAUCUAUAGAAAACUUUAUUUCAAGUUAGCUCAUUUAAAAUAAUUUUAAAAAUAUUUAGUUGUCUCAGAGAAUUUUUUUUUUUUUUGAAGAUCAGGAGUCAAUCUCACAGUGUCUCUACUCUUCUGUGAAUAUUUCUUUGUUUUCCCUUUUCUGUUAGGCCAACUCAUUCUGUUUAUUCAAAUUUUUAGUUUUCCAGAAUUCCAGCUCGUUGUGGUUUGGAUAACUAAGGCUUCUUUAGUUCUGAUACUACUUCAGUUUCUUCCCUCAAUGCUCCUUGCCCUGUCACUCCAAUUCCCAAGUGAAAAUUAAGAAAGGAAACUCAUUUUCACUGUGUGUGUGUGUGUGUGUGUGUAUUUCAGGGGUCUUACAAAACAUGACCACUUUUCCUUAACACAGUUUUGGGGCAGAUGAUUUCCACAGAAGAUGAUAUGGGAAGGAACCAUAAAGCAUUUUUAGUACAAAACCUCUAAGGACAAUACUCCCUCCUCUCCUGCCUUAAAAACAAACAAACAAACAAACAAACAAUUGGCUGGGUCCAAGGCAGAGGAGGUUUCUACAAAAUCCUUUCUUAAUGUGAGAUGAGUGGUUCUUGCAAGGUGAUGGCAUGAUAGCCAAAGCGUUAGACUUUGUAUCAGUGUCAUGGCCUUUAAACCCAGCUCUCUGUUGACACCCUUUGAGAGACCAUGAAAUUAUUGCUGAUGUGAAAACAAAAAUAGACUCACCAAAAGCAGUUGAGGAACUAAAUGAGCAACUUUUAUCAAGCAGUCUUUUCAAAGCAUUAACAAAUGUUCAAGAGCUAAUUUAAGAUGCUUUUUGUAUUUCGACACUAGUACAAUAAUGAAGUAAAAUUCGGUAGAGCAUUGACCCCAUCUCUCCCUCCAGCCACUGUCACUUUAUAGCUAAAUUUGAAAGCAUUGUCUUUAGGCACUGCCUCCACUUUCCACCUCCUAUUUCUCCUCAAAUCACUCUAAUUUGCACCACAAUCCUUAGCACAGCUCAGCAACUUCAUGGGAA
rnacentral:lncRNA from 1 species